UAUACAUAACACAUAAUUAAACUAACAACUAGCUACUAAAAUUUAAAAAAAAACUUGGAGACCAUGGCACCUUGGUUCUCCUUCAAUUCAAUUCUCCCCUUAUGGUUGUAAGGGCUGCAACUAGGGUUCAAAAGUGCGGAAAAAAAGAAAAUGAGACGAGAAAGUAUAUGAUUAUCGAUGUAAUUCUUGUAAAUAAUACAGUGAAAGAUUUUAAACUCUAAUUAAUAUAAGCUUAAAGGGUUAAAAUACCCAUACAACAAAAGUUAAAAGGACCCAAAACUAAAAGUUAAAAAACCAAUUGACCCAAAACUAACUUUUUCUCUUAUCCUUUAGUUUCUGGUUUCGUCCACUGAUAAUAACAUAUCUUAAUGCACCUACGAAACAAAUUUGAUGAGUGAAGAAGAUACUUGAAUUUGCAUUUGUUAAUACAUUCUUGCAAAGAUUUAUCCCUAGGUGUAACAUAAUAAAAAGAUGAAGUCAAAGGUUGUUGACGAAUUAUUUAAUGAAAUUCAGUAAUAACAACACAAAUAAUUAUUACUCCGAUCAACAAUAUUUCUGCGGCUCGUGCCAUACCGUUCAUAGAUAUGUAUU
rnacentral:lncRNA from 1 species